GAUGAACGCUGGCGGCGUGCCUAACACAUGCAAGUCGAACGGAGCCCUUUCGGGGGCUGAGUGGCGCACGGGUGAGGAACACGUAGCUGACCUGCCUUCCAGCGGGGGAUAACGUCCCGAAAGGGAUGCUAAGACCGCAUAAGCUCACACGCUCUAGAGGCGCGUGAGAAAAGACUACGGCUACUGGAAGAGGGGGCUGCGGCCCAUCAGGUAGUUGGUGCGGAACGGCGCACCAAGCCGACGACGGGUCGGGGAUCUGAGAGGAUGAUCCCCCCACA
rnacentral:rRNA from 1 species